UGGUGAUGAUGGCGAAGUGGACACACCUGUUCUCAUCCCGAACACAGAAGUUAAGCACUUCAGCGGC
rnacentral:rRNA from 1 species